rnacentral:rRNA from 1 species
GCGGCGUGCUUAACACAUGCAAGUCGAACAAGGAUAACCGACUGUGGGGAUUAGUGGCGAACGGGUGAGUAACACGUGGGCAAUCUGCCCUGCACUCUGGGACAAGCCCUGGAAACGGGGUCUAAUACCGGAUACGAGUUUCACAGGCAUCUGUGAUUCUGGAAAGCUCCGGCGGUGCAGGAUGAGCCCGCGGCCUAUCAGCUUGUUGGUGAGGUAACGGCUCACCAAGGCGACGACGGGUAGCCGGCCUGAGAGGGCGACCGGCCACACUGGGACUGAGACACGGCCCAGACUCCUACGGGAGGCAGCAGUGGGGAAUAUUGCACAAUGGGCGAAAGCCUGAUGCAGCGACGCCGCGUGAGGGAUGACGGCCUUCGGGUUGUAAACCUCUUUCAGCAGGGAAGAAGCGAGAGUGACGGUACCUGCAGAAGAAGCGCCGGCUAACUACGUGCCAGCAGCCGCGGUAAUACGUAGGGCGCAAGCGUUGUCCGGAAUUAUUGGGCGUAAAGAGCUCGUACGCGGCUUGUCGCGUCGGUUGUGAAAGCCCGGGGCUUAACCCCGGGUCUGCAGUCGAUACGGGCAGGCUAGAGUUCGGUAGGGGAGAUCGGAAUUCCUGGUGUAGCGGUGAAAUGCGCAGAUAUCAGGAGGAACACCGGUGGCGAAGGCGGAUCUCUGGGCCGAUACUGACGCUGAAGAGCGAAAGCGUGGGGAGCGAACAGGAUAGAUACCCUGGUAGUCCACGCCGUAAACGGUGGGCACUAGGUGUGGGUGACAUUCCACGUCGUCCGUGCCGCAGCUAACGCAUUAAGUGCCCCGCCUGUGGAGUACGGCCGCAAGGCUACAACUCAAAGGAAUUGACGGGGGCCCGCACAAGCGGCGGAGCAUGUGGCUUAAUUCGACGCAACGCGAAGAACCUUACCAAGGCUUGACAUACACCGGAAAGCAUUAGAGAUAGUGCCCCCCUUGUGGUCGGUGUACAGGUGGUGCAUGGCUGUCGUCAGCUCGUGUCGUGAGAUGUUGGGUUAAGUCCCGCAACGAGCGCAACCCUUGUCCCGUGUUGCCAGCAGGCCCUUGUGGUGCUGGGGACUCACGGGAGACCGCCGGGGUCAACUCGGAGGAAGGUGGGGACGACGUCAAGUCAUCAUGCCCCUUAUGUCUUGGGCUGCACACGUGCUACAAUGGCCGGUACAAUGAGCUGCGAUACCGCGAGGUGGAGCGAAUCUCAAAAAGCCGGUCUCAGUUCGGAUUGGGGUCUGCAACUCGACCCCAUGAAGUCGGAGUCGCUAGUAAUCGCAGAUCAGCAUUGCUGCGGUGAAUACGUUCCCGGGCCUUGUACACACCGCCCGUCACGUCACGAAAGUCGGUAACACCCGAAGCCGGUGG